rnacentral:misc_RNA from 1 species
CGAGUUUUCGAGACUCGGUUCAACUUUCGUUCGAACAACGAGUUCGCAUAUUUUGCGAGCGAAUAUUUGGAGUUUAGUGUUUCGAAAAUAAGGUAUAUCGCGUUCUUCGCGUUCUGCACUUAAGCUUAGCCGUAAAAGAAUGAUGGUCAAAAAAGCGGUUGUAACCCAGGCGAAAUUGGCCAUCAGCAAAUUGCUGCUGUGUUAUACUAGGUAUUUUAUAUCGCAGACCUCUCUACGGACUGGAGACAAAAAUCAAGCUGGUUGGUCAAAAUGGAACCAUAUACGCAAAUCGAGCGAGUAUUGCGGUGUUCAUAUGAUGAAUGCUAAAACACAAGGUAAGAGAAAAGGAUGAAGAUAUAGAGGGAUAGCCGUAACAGACGAAUCAAAGAGAGAAUUUCGG